AAUAUGUAUUAAUGUAUUUUGUAAAGUAGUUCUAUUCUAUAUAAUAGAUUACUAUUUUAUGGAUUACAAUUAUGUUAGAUUAAGAUCUCAUAGGCCCCCAUACGAGCAUUUUCAGUGGGGCUCAUUAUGUUUUUCUAAAGAAUGAAAAAUAAAUAGAAUAAAUAAUACAAAUAUAUAUAUAUUAUAACAUCUAUAUAUAUUAAUAACAUCUAACUUAAUAUUGUCUAUUGUGUCUUUUCCGGAAUUAAG